GUGAAUCAUCGAAUUUUUGAACGCAAAUUGCACUCUCUGGUAUUCCGGAGAGUAUGCCUGUUUGAGGGUCAGUUUAAAUAAAAAUCGGUGUGGUUGCUGCCUUUCGUGGUGACGCGCCGGAUUUGGGUCGUCUUGCCUUCGGUUAAGUGACCUAAAUUUUUGCUGGUUUUUUUUCAACGGUUUUAAAUUGUUUUUCGUUCGUUUUCCGU
rnacentral:misc_RNA from 1 species